UUACUAUCAUGGGAUUUUCUGAUUGAUGGCACUGGCUAUCCAUCAGUACACAGAACGUGGAGAGCGGCUUCAGUGUGUCAUUUGUAAUAUAAAUUCAGCACAAACUUCAUUGGUAGUUUUGGUGCAGUGUCAUCUUCAUACAUUUACACUACUUAAUUCCACGUGAACAUGUCCAGUAAUUUAGUAUUAUUGUCAUGCUUGUCUUAUUUCUUUGCUUCUGUAAUACAUCACAGUAUGACUAUUACGCCAGCAACCGCCACAGUGACACAUCGCUCCUCAAAAGGGGGAAUGCAGGUGUCGUCUUUGAAGAAAGAAGAAGGCGGAGUAUAUGAGAAAAAUAUUAGCAUGGGUUUACAUUUUAUUAUAAUUAUAAGAAAAGGAGGUACCAUUAAUUAUUGCUGCUAAUUAUGCUACCCCAAAUAAUUAAACAAUUAUAAAAGGGCACCAUCAAUGACAUUCACCCACUCUUUGACAUUUCAAAAUAUCACUUAAAACAGCAACAUUUAGAUUAUGGAUUUUCUUUUACAGGCAAGACUGUGUAUGUUUUUGAUCAUUUACAAAGAAGACAGGCUUUACUGUAUAAUAAUUAAUCUGACUUACAGUAAUCUUUUUCUUUAAAAGGAUUGCGGUAACGAGAUGAGGCCAAGAAAACAACCCUGCCUCUUUUGUUUGUCUUUGUCACAGCAGCAGAUGCCCAGGGAAAAGAAAAUGAUAGCCACUUGUUUGUGAGUAGCUGUGUACCUCCAACGCAAAGUCUUAGUCUUGGCUUAGUGACGACUGAUUCUGUAUUUGUCUGCGGACUGAGUCGGCAGGAUCUUGUCAUGUUCAUUUGCUUCAAGAGAAGUGUAGCGGCCGCGGCUCCUGCAUCCGAGCCUCUUUCUCUCUUUCCCUCCUUGUCUGUUGCUGGUGUGUGGCGGCACGCUGACUUGCACCUAAAAGGUCUUUGCCAAUGCCCUGGUGUCCUGCUCGAGAGAACAAGGCUAGAAAUGCAACAGUGCCCCCACUUGGUCGAAGGGAGAAGCGCACCAACAACAGCCUGUCAUUCUCGGUCUGCGGAACGUUCAGCUUCCUGACAAACAAGGCACAGAGGGGGUGGGGGGCUCCAAGGAAAUAGAGCUAUCCCGGAGCUGGCUGCCAUGUUGGCUUUGCUGAGGUGCAACGGUGGAGGAGCCGAGAGCCAACUCCACUGGACUCGGAGAGCUUUAAAGUCCAUGUAAAUGUGAGAGCGUACGCAAACCGUUCUGAAAACAUGUCAAUCAUGGUAAUGAUUUCUUUUUGCUGUGUGGUUCCGGCGUAUUUACAUUCGCUGGAUGUGAUAAUGAACAGCACACUGUUCCUCUGUGUGGGCGUGUGUGACGAUUGAAGACUGACAAGGCCCAUUUAAUUAAGAGGAGACAUUUCUUCUCAUCUAACCUUUUGUCUGCUGCUAUGGUUAAAUUUAAGCAGAAGUCAACAAACUGAAAAGCCAUUUUUCUAUGACAUUUUAUUGUAAAUGGUGAUGUCCUGCAGUAACCAUGUCUGUAAGCAAAGGAAUGCAGUAGAAGUUAAAAUUCUUUAAACUUUCCUCAUCUCGCUCACAUUCAGAAACUUGUCACAGAUGACCUUGUUUUCUCUGUGGCCUUUCCUUAAAUAGCCUAAAAGUUUCCCAAGGUGAGUUGGAAAGUACAUUAUUUCAAAAUGCAGGGUAAACUGCAAAGGGGGGGGGGGGGGUUGACCCUCGAAAUUCAACUGGCCUUCUGAACCUUUGUGUUAAGAAGUCGUUUAACAUUACUGCUGCGUUUAUUUAAAGCUUCCAACAAAAAAAAAGGGAGAUUUGAUCCAGAUUUACAUUAUUUUAAAACUUACAUUUGUCAGGUAAUGAAGUAUCAGGACCAAAGAACAAAACAAACAUGCAAAUCCUUAAGAACGAGAAUAAUUAGUGUCCACAAAUGACUUUUACAGUUUUUUGACAGUUGUACUUGAAGAUGUCAUUGAACUGGUUAUUUACAACUUACUGGCA